CACGCAAACGAACGCCCAAGGGCGUGUCUCCGCGGUGACGUAAAAACUGGGGCGGUGCAGUUAGGCCUCUUCCGACUCUUCUUCGUGAGAUUUGAAGACACAUCGCGAGAUCUCGCCUGACUCAGUCACGGGACCCGUCUCGGAUUUGCGGUUUCGGCCGUUCCAACUUCCGGUGCAGGGACCGGAAACGCGCUGUGAGGGACUGAGCAAAAAUAGCCUGUUGCUGCAGAGCGGCAGUAACUGCUACAUACCGUAUCUCAGCAGUCAAGAACCUAGGCCACUCUGGCCAAAAGGAAAAGGGUAAGAAGAGAGGUGAAGAUAACACAAACUGAAAAUGUUUCAGAAGCUCCAUACCCAGUAUGGAGCACAAAGCAGGACCUGAACUCACAACCCUGAGAUCAAGAACUGAACUGAGAUCAAGAGUCGUAUGUCUGGGGCGCCUGGGUGGCACAGCGGUUAAGCGUCUGCCUUCGGCUCAGGGCGUGAUCCCAG